GCCUAUGGCCACACCACCCUGAAAACAACUGAUCUUGUCUGAUCUCAGAAGCUAAGCAGGGUCGGGCUUGGUUAGUACUUGGAUGGGAGACUGCCUGGGAAUCCCGGGUGUUGUAGUGA
rnacentral:rRNA from 1 species